rnacentral:rRNA from 1 species
AGGAAGGGGUCCGCGGCCGAUUAGUUAGUUGGUAGGGUAAUGGCCUACCAAGACCAAGAUCGGUAGCCGGCCUGAGAGGGCACACGGCCACACUGGCACUGAAACACGGGCCAGACUCCUACGGGAGGCAGCAGUGGGGAAUCUUGCACAAUGGGGGAAACCCUGAUGCAGCGACGCCGCGUGAGCGAUGAAGCCCUUCGGGGUGUAAAGCUCUUUCGGCAGGGAAGAUUAUGACGGUACCUGCAGAAGCAGCUGCGGCUAACUACGUGCCAGCAGCCGCGGUAAUACGUAGGCAGCAAGCGUUGUUCGGAGUUACUGGGCGUAAAGGGUGUGUAGGCGGUCCGCUAAGUUUGGUGUGAAAUCUCCCGGCUCAACUGGGAGGGUGCGCCGAAUACUGGCAGGCUAGAGUGUGGGAUGGGAGAGUGGAAUUCCUGGUGUAGCGGUGAAAUGCGUAGAUAUCAGGAGGAACACCUGUGGUGUAGACGGCUCUCUGGACCAUUACUGACGAUGAGACACGAAAGCGUGGGUAGCAAACAGGAUUAGAUACCCUGGUAGUCC